UUGCUUCAGUAGCACAUAUACUAAAAUUGGAAUGAUACAGAAAAGAUUAGUAUGGCCCCCGCCAAAGGAUGACGUAUAGUCAUGGAACAUUCCAUACUUUC
rnacentral:snRNA from 1 species